UUCACUUGAAUCAAGCUACUCCCAGCUUCUGCACACAUCUGGUCCAACACUACUUUGGGAUAUGUUUUGCUAAGGUUGCUGUUCUGCCUGGAAGGCCCUCAUUCCUCAGCUGCAUGACCCGAGGUUUCCUUCCUCUAAGACCUUGCUAGCGGCUCCUAGAUGCCUUCCAAACCAAAUUCUCUUCUAUGAGAUCAGCUCUUAGCUUUGUAUUCCCUGGCACUUAUGGAGUAUGUUAUGGAGGUAAGAGAAGAAAAUAAGUGCAACAUGCCAGAAAUCCAGUAAAGCAGUUCAAGUAUCAGAAGAGCGUGAAUCAAAACCAAGUGCAAGAAGAGGCACCUUGACAUUGAACUGAAGGCCACCAGGUACUCACUGGGUCAAUGACUCUUCUCAUUUUUAUUCUCCUGCCAGUGCUUCCAAUCGCUGAACUGAACUGGGAACAAAUCAACAAGGGAAACCAAGAGAUGCAUUCCUUGAAGUUCAGCCUCCAGGCCUCAAGUAAGGCAGAGGAAGAGAAUACAUAGAUCUGUGGAGAAGAGUGGUGAUGGUGGGAGCUGCCAAUAAAGAACUAUCAAAAAAGGAUGAUGCAACAGAAAAGCCGUCACCAGAUACCAGCACCUUAAUGUUGGACUUCUCAGCCUCCAGAACUGUAAGAAAUAAAUCCCUGUUCUUUAUAAAUUACCCAGUCUCAGGUAUCCUGCUAUAGCAGCACAAAAUGGACUAUGAUAGAAAAUUGGUAUGAAGGAGUAGUACCAUUGUUAUAACAAAUACCUAAAAAUGGAAGCCACUCUGGAACUGGGUAAGGGGUAGAGUAUGGAAGAAUUUAGAGGAGCAGGCUAGAAAAAGCCUAAAUUGCUGUGUAUUACUCCAGGAUGGUAAGAAAUAAAUCUCUGUUCUUUAUAAAUUGCCCAGACUCACAGCACAAAACAAAUUAAGACAUUAAGAUUUGCCCCAUUCUUAGAAUUCAUUUCUUCCAUUUUCCCUUUAAUUAAAUCAAUGCCAGCAUCUAAGCAGUGUGCACCUUUUGACCAUAGUCUUUCUAAUUGACCAGAAGCUUAGAUGUGGAAAAUGCAAAAACUAUGCACAUUUCUGAUGGGUUUAACUUCUGAGAAAUUUUUACAAGGUUUUCCUUAUUUUAUCUGCUCCAGUAAACCUGUGGUUUCAUGAACAGGCCUAGAAUUUGAGAUUCAGCUUCUAAACUUCAAAGGUGACCUUUCAACCCAUUUGUUUAUAGACUCGGUAUUAACCUUUUGAGUUCUAGAAUAGGGUUUUAGAACUUACUUUCAUAAAAGUUUAUAUAGUCAAUUCCAUUCAUUUAUGCUAAGGACAUAGAAUAUUUCUAGAUUGCACAAUAUGUUUCUGUGGGAAUUGAAUGGAAAUCCAGGUUUCCUGACAAGAAACAAAGGAUCUUUGGGAGGCCGAGACAGGCGGAUCACGAGGUCAGGAGAUCGAGACCAUCCUGGCUAACACGGUGA
rnacentral:lncRNA from 1 species